UCCCAUAUGUCAUGUGGUUAGGAUUUGGCGCUUUCACCGCCAAGGCCCGGGUUCAAUUCCCGGUGUGGGAA
rnacentral:tRNA from 1 species